UUUUUAUCCAAGUCAAAUUAAAAUACCCAAUCACAAUUAAAUACCAUUUCAUUUUGGAAAUGAAAAGGGGGAUGGUUUUGAGUUUUCAGCUCCUCUCCUCGAUUAUUUGAAUACGAGUUUUCUUACUCGUUUAGUCAAAUGGUCGUCAUUUAUAAUUCAUUUAAGCACAAACAAAUCAAAUCCUUUUAUAACAAGAAACUAAAAGGGAGAUAACUUUGAGUCUUCAAUUU
rnacentral:lncRNA from 1 species